AUACGGAGGGUGCGAGCGUUAAUCGGAAUUACUGGGCGUAAAGGGUGCGUAGGCGGCUUGAUAAGUCGGAUGUGAAAGCCCCGGGCUUAACCUGGGAAUUGCAUUGGAUACUGUCAGGCUAGAGUAUGUCAGAGGUUGGCGGAAUUCCUGGUGUAGCGGUGAAAUGCGUAGAUAACAGGAGGAACACCAGUGGCGAAGGCGGCUAACUGGGACAAUACUGACGCUGAGGCACGAAAGCGUGGGGAGCAAACAGGAUUAGAAACCCUAGUAGUCC
rnacentral:rRNA from 1 species